CCUGCGCCAUGGCAACCCACAGGAACCCACAAUCGCAUUGCAAGGUCGCUGUUGGGAAUCAGGGGGAGCCCUCUUCCCCUGUCAAUCCCAUGGAAGCCGUGAUAAGCAGGACCCCGGCUGUGAUUGACAGCCACAUCCCACCACUGAAAGUGCAGAGAAAGCAAUCCUUGAUCACCUUCUCUGCGUGACGGAUCUGGUCCGUCACAUGUCGUGCCUGAGAGAAAGUUUAUCUUUGUCUUGCCUUGCUGUGUUCCUGACCCCUUGUUCCGUGACCUGACCUAGCUCCUUGUCGCCUGCCUAUUGACCUCCUGCUACAUUCCUAACUCUGCACAUGUGCCGCCUGCCCUGACCUACUGCUAUCCAGACCACAAGUUGCUGUAUCCUUCCUAUGCCCCGCAUCACCUCAGAAGCAUGUAUGGUUGAGUCAUGCCAGGGAUAGCGACCUGGGUGCCGCCUGCCUCAGCAAGACCAUCCCGCUUUGCGGUGGGCUCUGGUGAAAACCAGCAGCACCUUAGAUUCUGCUCCCUGGCACAGCCCGUGUCAUCUGCCACACAGGUCCAUCGGAUCCACUUCCUCCGUGAAUGUCCUGCCAACUGCCUGGUAAGGUGUUUAUGAUGUCGUACGCAGGCAAAAAAAAGUCACAAACCAACUUCAAAAAGUUGCAAGUCUACUUCAGGUCUGACCGAGAAUAUAAAACUUCCGCACAUGAGUUUAUACAGAGGUCUACUUCGGAUUCGGAGGACUACAAUGAUGACCCA